rnacentral:rRNA from 1 species
GAACGCUAGCGGCAGGCUUAAUACAUGCAAGGUCGUGGGGCAGCAUGAGUAGCAAUACUUGAUGGCGACCGGCAAACGGGUGAGGAACACGUACACAACCUUCCUCAAGCGGGGAAUAGCCCAGAGAAAUUUGGAUUAAUACCCCAUAAUAUAUUUGAUAAGGCAUCUUAUUAAUAUUAAAGCUUCGGCACUUGAUGAUGGGUGUGCGGCUGAUUAGAUAGUUGGCGGGGUAACGGCCCACCAAGUCUACGAUCAGUAGCUGAUGUGAGAGCAUGAUCAGCCACACGGGCACUGAGACACGGGCCCGACUCCUACGGGAGGCAGCAGUAAGGAAUAUUGGACAAUGGACGAAAGUCUGAUCCAGCCAUGCCGCGUGAAGGAUUAAGGUCCUCUGGAUUGUAAACUUCUUUUAUAUGGGACGAAAAAAGGGCAUUCUUGUUCACUUGACGGUACCAUAUGAAUAAGCACCGGCUAACUCCGUG